rnacentral:rRNA from 1 species
GACGUAGGGCGCGAGCGUUGUCCGGAUUUAUUGGGCGUAAAGAGCUCGUAGGCGGCUUGUCGCGUCGACUGUGAAAACCCGCGGCUCAACUGCGGGCUUGCAGCCGAUACGGGCAGGCUAGAGUUCGGUAGGGGAGACUGGAAUUCCUGGUGUAGCGGUGAAAUGCGCAGAUAUCAGGAGGAACACCGAUGGCGAAGGCAGCUGCCUGGCCUAGAACUGACGCUGAGGUGCGAAAGCGUGGGGAGCGAACAGG